UAAGACGUAGGGCGCGAGCGUUGUCCGGAUUUAUUGGGCGUAAAGAGCUCGUAGGCGGCUCAUUGCGUCAACCGUGAAAUCCUGCUGCUCAACGGCAGGUCUGCGGUUGAUACGGGUGGGCUGGAGUUCGGUAGGGGAGACUGGAAUUCCUGGUGUAGCGGUGAAAUGCGCAGAUAUCAGGAGGAACACCGGUGGCGAAGGCGGGUCUCUGGGCCGAUACUGACGCUGAGGAGCGAAAGCGUGGGGAGCGAACAGGAUUAGAUACCCUGGUAGUCCACGCUGUAAACGUUGGGCGCUAGGUGUGGGGGGCCUCUCCGGUUCUCUGUGCCGCAGCUAACGCAUUAAGCGCCCCGCCUGGGGAGUACGGCCGCAAGGCUA
rnacentral:rRNA from 1 species